rnacentral:rRNA from 1 species
GAUGAACGCUGGCGGCGUGCCUAAUACAUGCAAGUCGAGCGAACGGAUGAGAAGCUUGCUUCUCUGAUGUUAGCGGCGGACGGGUGAGUAACACGUGGAUAACCUACCUAUAAGACUGGGAUAACUUCGGGAAACCGGAGCUAAUACCGGAUAAUAUUUUGAACCGCAUGGUUCAAAAGUGAAAGACGGUCUUGCUUUCACUUAUAGAUGGAUCCGCGCUGCAUUAGCUAGUUGGUAAGGUAACGGCUUACCAAGGCAACGAUGCAUAGCCGACCUGAGAGGGUGAUCGGCCACACUGGAACUGAGACACGGUCCAGACUCCUACGGGAGGCAGCAGUAGGGAAUCUUCCGCAAUGGGCGAAAGCCUGACGGAGCAACGCCGCGUGAGUGAUGAAGGUCUUCGGAUCGUAAAACUCUGUUAUUAGGGAAGAACAUAUGUGUAAGUAACUGUGCACAUCUUGACGGUACCUAAUCAGAAAGCCACGGCUAACUACGUG